rnacentral:rRNA from 1 species
AUUGAACGCUGGCGGCACGCCUAACACAUGCAAGUCGAACGAGUGGCGGACGGGUGAGUAAUGUCUGGGAAACUGCCUGAUGGAGGGGGAUAACUACUGGAAACGGUAGCUAAUACCGCAUACCAUCGGAUGUGCCCAGAUGGGAUUAGCUUGUUGGUGGGGUAACGGCUCACCAAGGCGACGAUCCCUAGCUGGUCUGAGAGGAUGACCUGCCCCACUGGAACUGAGACACGGUCCAGACUCCUACGGGAGGCAGCAGUUGGGAAUAUUGCACAAUGGGCGCAAUCCUGAUGCAGCCAUGCCGCGUGUAUGAAGAAGGCCUUCGGGUUGUAAAGUACUUUCAGUGGGGAGGCGUUACCCGCAGAAGAAGCACCGGCUAACUCCGUGCCAGCAGCCGCGGUAAUAC